rnacentral:rRNA from 1 species
CAUUUCGGGGGUACUCGAGUGGCGAACGGGUGAGUAACACGUGGGUGAUCUGCCCUGCACUUUGGGAUAAGCCUGGGAAACUGGGUCUAAUACCGGAUAGGACUACGGCCUGCAUGGGUUGUGGUGGAAAGCUUUUGCGGUGUGGGAUGGGCCCGCGGCCUAUCAGCUUGUUGGUGGGGUGAUGGCCUACCAAGGCGACGACGGGUAGCCGGCCUGAGAGGGUGUCCGGCCACACUGGGACUGAGAUACGGCCCAGACUCCUACGGGAGGCAGCAGUGGGGAAUAUUGCACAAUGGGCGCAAGCCUGAUGCAGCGACGCCGCGUGGGGGAUGACGGCCUUCGGGUUGUAAACCUCUUUCACCAUCGGCGAAGCCGGUAUCUUUUGUUGCCGGUGACGGUAGGUGGAGAAGAAGCACCGGCCAACUACGUGCCAGCAGCCGCGGUAAUACGUAGGGUGCGAGCGUUGUCCGGAAUUACUGGGCGUAAAGAGCUCGUAGGUGGUUUGUCGCGUUGUCCGUGAAAUUCCCUGGCUUAACUGGGGGCGUGCGGGCGAUACGGGCAGACUGGAGUACUGCAGGGGAGACUGGAAUUCCUGGUGUAGCGGUGGAAUGCGCAGAUAUCAGGAGGAACACCGGUGGCGAAGGCGGGUCUCUGGGCAGUAACUGACGCUGAGGAGCGAAAGCGUUGGGAGCGAACAGGAUUAGAUACCCUGGUAGUCCACGCCGUAAACGGUGGGUACUAGGUGUGGGUUUCCUUCCUUGGGAUCCGUGCCGUAGCUAACGCAUUAAAUACCCCGCCUGGGGAGUACGGCCGCA